rnacentral:rRNA from 1 species
ACGGAAGGCAGCAGUGGGGAAUAUUGCACAAUGGGCGAAAGCCUGAUGCAGCGACGCCGCGUGAGCGAAGAAGUAUUUCGGUAUGUAAAGCUCUAUCAGCAGGGAAGAUAAUGACGGUACCUGACUAAGAAGCACCGGCUAAAUACGUGCCAGCAGCCGCGGUAAUACGUAUGGUGCAAGCGUUAUCCGGAUUUACUGGGUGUAAAGGGAGCGUAGGCGGUUUUACAAGUCUGAUGUGAAAGCCCGGGGCUCAACUCCGGUAUUGCAUUGGAAACUGUAGAACUAGAGUGUCGGAGGGGUAAGUGGAAUUCCUAGUGUAGCGGUGAAAUGCGUAGAUAUUAGGAGGAACACCAGUGGCGAAGGCGGCUCACUGGACGAUUACUGACGCUGAGGCUCGAAAGCGUGGGGAGCAAACAGGAUUAGAUACCCUGGUA